GCCUGGGUGGCUCUGUUGGUUAAGCGUCCGACUUUGGCUCAGGUCAUGAUCUCCCAGUCUGUGGGUUCGAGCCCCGCUUCGGGCU
rnacentral:tRNA from 1 species